rnacentral:pre_miRNA from 11 species
UUCCCACUGCCGUUGAAAGACCCCCGAAGGGAGACCCUCGCUCAAAUCUCGGGAAUUGCGCGCACCCAGUGAGGCACCGAGACCG